CCUGGGGCCCCAUCUGGGUGGUCCAGGAAGUUGGUGUCACCCCUGACCACCCUUGGAACACACACACACACACACACACACACACACACCCCUGCAUCUGUGCAGAUGGGUGAAGGACAAGGACUCCCUCCUCCCUGGCCACUGGUCCAAGCAGCGUCAGAGCAGCGCGUACCCCUCUGCCGCCAGCCACUGGGCAGGGACUCACCCCCAGGGAACUACUGGAGCGUCGGCUGGAGUGAGUGCUAGGACGACCUCUGGCCUGCUGCGGCUGAGGCACACCCUUAGCCCCUCACCGGAGGAUUCACUGCAGGGACUCCAGCAGAAGCCUCGCCCCCAACCCUGCCCUCCAUCUCUUACAGCCUUUCAGCACAAGAACCCGGAGGAAACACGCAGACCUGGCUUGUGGGAGAGAAAUAGCCUCGGUUCACACUAGGUUCUAGGGAGCUGCUCCCUCCAGGACAGCUGAGGGUGGGAGAGGGCUUCCCUGUGGCACAGGAUGGAAUUAAUGAGAGCCUACCCCAGGCUUCCCCGUGGUCUGACCUGCCCACGUGAGCUGAAUUGGAAAGGCAGCCUGAUCCUGUCAGUGUGUACCUUUGAGCAGGGAGGACAUCUUUUGGGAUCCUGGGGACCCCUCCUCACACUUACUAAUCAAGAGCUCUGGUGAUGAGCACCCCAGCCCAUCUGUCAUAAAUAUCAAAUCGCCAAAAACCUACCCACUGUGCCUCCCCCACGCACACACACACACAGGCAUGUCAUUGCAUGCCCCGUCCACGUGCAAAAUAAACCAGCUAAUGUUUCUAGAAGGCAGCACUGUGCUACUGCUGCAGCUCCUAGGCAGGUGCUUGCUUUGCAUGCCUGAAGCCCCUGGUUUACCGAGCAAAACCAAAACCAAGGAAAAGACAAUUGAUGGGAGGUGUUUUCCUCCUACCACGAUUGGGUCUUGGGAGUCAAACUCAAGAUGUCAGGCUUGGUGGCAAGCCCCUUACCUGCUGGGCCCUCUCACUGACCCUAGCAACAAAAGUAAACUUAGAUUUAUUAUUUUA